ACCUGUACCCAUGCCGAACACAGAAGUUAAGCCCUAGAACGCCGGAAGUAGUUGGGGGUUGCCCCCUGUGAGAUAAGGUAGUCGCUUAGC
rnacentral:rRNA from 1 species